CGGAGAGUUUGAUCCUGGCUCAGGAUGAACGCUGGCGGCGUGCCUAAUACAUGCAAGUCGGACGGAGUUAUCAGAGAUGAUAGCUCAGUGGCGAACGGGUGAGUAACGCGUUGGUGACCUGCCCCGAAGAGCGGGAUAACAGAUCGAAAGGUCUGCUAAUACCGCAUGAUCUCUCACGGGUUAGAGGGGUGAGAGGAAAGGCCGAAAGGCGCUUUGGGAGGGGCCUGCGUCCCAUCAGCUAGUUGGCGGGGUAAGAGCCCACCAAGGCGAUGACGGGUAGGGGGCCUGAGAGGGUGACCCCCCACAAUGGAACUGAAACACGGUCCAUACACCUACGGGUGGCAGCAGUAGGGAAUAUUGGGGAAUGGGCGAAAGCCUGACCCAGCAACGCCGCGUGCGCGAAGAAGGCCUUCGGGUUGUAAAGCGCUUUUCUCAGGGAUGAGGAAGGACAGUACCUGAGGAAUAAGUCUCGGCUAACUACGUGCCAGCAGCCGCGGUAACACGUAGGAGACGAGCGUUAUCCGGAUUUACUGGGUGUAAAGCGCGUGUAGGCGGCGAGGUAAGUUGGAUGUGAAAGCUCCUGGCUUAACUGGGAGAGGUCGUUCAAGACUGCCUGGCUAGAGUGCAGCAGAGGGGAGUGGAAUUCCGAGUGUAGCGGUAAAAUGCAUAGAUAUUCGGAAGAACACCAGUGGCGAAGGCGGCUCUCUGGGCUGCAACUGACGCUCAGACGCGAAAGCUAGGGGAGCGAACGGGAUUAGAGACCCCGGUAGUCCUAGCCGUAAACGAUGUGAACUAGGCGUAGGCGGGUUGAAAUCCGACUGUGCCGGAGCGAACGCGAUAAGUUCACCACCUGGGGACUACGGCCGCAAGGUUAAAACUCAAAGGAAUUGACGGGGGCCCGCACAAGCAGCGGAGCGUGUGGUUUAAUUCGAUGCUACACGAAGAACCUU
rnacentral:rRNA from 1 species